rnacentral:lncRNA from 1 species
UAUCGAUCAAGUAUGCAUAUGUGGUUCGCUAUAUCUUUCUGUAAUAUUUCUCAUCCUAUGUUUCGAAUUUCUUUUAUAUGAAGUGAGGGAAGUGAAAUGCAUAUAUGAAGAUAGUGAACUGAAAAUAGCAUGAAUACUUGAAUGGUUUGUUGGUUGGUUAUGUUUGAAUGAACUGAUUCUUGAAAAUGCUUUGGCAGAGAAUGAUGAAGAGCAGUGCAGUCUUUCCUCUUUUUGCUAGGAACGUUUGUGGAAUGGGAAUGAGGAGAUUAUGCUUGGUUGAUGUUCUGUAUGAAUGGUGAUUUUGCUUCGUUUAAAAUCCUUUGCAGCUGCUAAGGAUUUUAGGUAAGUGAGGAUGCCUUUUAUAGGGAGUAAAUACUGAAGCUGAUAGUGUGAAAAUAUGGUGAAUAGUGCGGCUAAAUUGAGGCGUGGUUGAAGAAUUUAAUUGAUGAGAUUUUCUGCUGACAAUUGAGAUUUGUCUGUUGAAUAUUUUCUUUGACUAUGUAGGAGUGAAAUAAAAACUAAGCACGGGUGAGAAUAGAGUGGCUGAGGUGGACUUGAAGUGUUGGAUGGGUGGCUGGGCACUGUAGCGACACUGUUGAGUACUGGAGCAGCACUGUAGCAACACUUUAGCAGCAGUUGUCAUUAAUCACCAAACGUCCCCUUUUCUUCUUUUCUCCUUUAUCUAUCUUUUCCUUAAAUUAGGGUGUUGGCAGAUGGUAGGUGUAGGAAAAUAUUAUUGGAAUGAUUGAUGUGUAUCUAUAAUAAAUCUCUCAUUGGUUCUGUAUUAGAACUUUGGUAUCGAGUUUUUCUAAUGUCGAGC